rnacentral:rRNA from 1 species
GUUUUCGGAUGGAAUCAGUAUAACUUAGUGGCGGACGGGUGAGUAACGCGUGGGAAACCUGCCCUGUACCGGGGGAUAACACUUAGAAAUAGGUGCUAAUACCGCAUAAGCGCACGGAACUGCAUGGUUCUGUGUGAAAAACUCCGGUGGUACAGGAUGGUCCCGCGUCUGAUUAGCCAGUUGGCAGGGUAACGGCCUACCAAAGCGACGAUCAGUAGCCGGCCUGAGAGGGUGAACGGCCACAUUGGGACUGAGACACGGCCCAAACUCCUACGGGAGGCAGCAGUGGGGACUAUUGCACAAUGGGGGAAAGCCUGAUGCAGCGGACGCCGCGUGAGUGAAGAAGUAUUUCGGUAUGUAAAGCUCUAUCAGCAGGGAAGAAAAUGACGGUACCUGACUAAGAAGCCCCGGCUAACUACGUGCCAGCAGCCGCGGUAAUACGUAGGGGGCAAGCGUUAUCCGGAUUUACUGGGUGUAAAGGGAGCGUAGACGGCAUGGCAAGCCAGAUGUGAAAACCCAGGGCUCAACCUUGGGAUUGCAUUUGGAACUGCCAGGCUGGAGUGCAGGAGAGGUAAGCGGAAUUCCUAGUGUAGCGGUGAAAUGCGUAGAUAUUAGGAGGAACACCAGUGGCGAAGGCGGCUUACUGGACUGUAACUG